rnacentral:rRNA from 1 species
CCUACGGGGGGCUGCAGUAAGGAAUAUUGGUCAAUGGAGGCAACUCUGAACCAGCCAUGCCGCGUGCAGGAAGACGGCCCUAUGGGUUGUAAACUGCUUUUGUACCAGAGAAAACCCUCUUACGUGUAGGAGGUUGAUAGUAUGGUAAGAAUAAGCAUCGGCUAACUUCGUGCCAGCAGCCGCGGUAAGACGAAGGAUGCAAGCGUUAUCCGGAUUCAUUGGGUUUAAAGGGUGCGUAGGCGGACUUGUAAGUCAGUGGUGAAAUCUCUCAGCUUAACUGAGAAACUGCCAUUGAUACUGCAGGUCUAGAGUAUAGAUGACGUUGGCGGAAUAUGACAUGUAGUGGUGAAAUACUUAGAUAUGUCAUAGAACACCGAUUGCGAAGGCAGCUAACGAAACUAUAACUGACGCUGAGGCACGAAAGUGCGGGGAUCAAACAGGAUUAGAUACCCGAGUAGUC